rnacentral:rRNA from 1 species
UACAGAGACCUCAAGCGUUAUCCGGAAUCAUUGGGCGUAAAGCGUACCGAUAGGUGGUUAAGAAAGUCAGAUGUGAAAUCUCCGAGCUCAACUCGGAAUCUGUCAUUUGAAACUUCUUGACUAGAGGGGCAAAGAGGAAGCUGGAACGAACGGUGUAGUAGUAAAAUGCGUUGAUAUCGUUCGGAACACCAAUAGCGAAGGCAGGCUUCUGGGUGCCACCUGACACUGCUAGGACGAAAGCGUGGGGAGCGAAUGGG